rnacentral:rRNA from 1 species
GACGAACGCUGGCGGCGUGCUUAACACAUGCAAGUCGAGCGGAAAGGCCACUUCGGUGGUACUCGAGCGGCGAACGGGUGAGUAACACGUGAGUAAUCUGCCCCUGGCUUUGGGAUAGCCACCGGAAACGGUGAUUAAUACCGGAUACGACCACUUCUCGCAUGGGAUGGUGGUGGAAAGUUUUUUCGGCCAGGGAUGUGCUCGCGGCCUAUCAGCUUGCUGGUGAGGUAAUGGCUCCCCAUGGCAUCGACGGGUAGCCGGCCUGAGGGGGUGACCGGUCACACUGGGACUGAGACACGGCCCAGACUCGUACGGGAGGCAGCAGUGGGGAAUAUUGGACAAUGGGCGGAAGCCUGAUCCAGCAACGCCGCGUGAGGGAUGACGGCCUUCGGGUUGUAAACCUCUUUCAGCAGGGACGAAGCGCAAGUGACGGUACCUGCAGAAGAAGCACCGGCCAACUACGUGCCAGCCGCCGCAGUAA